CUACACAUGCCGCCCAAAUCCGGCCUGAAUUCCCAUGUCCUGCUGCGAUGUAAAUCAGGUCUUUUUUGCCUGUCAUGGAUACGGGAUAAGCUCAGCCCGCAGCUGCAGAAGUUUUACACACUGCCCCGUGGCUGACUGGCGUCCAGAGAAGGGCUGACCGUACCCCAUUGACCCAGGCUCGAUUUCCCCUGGGAGAACAUGUCUAGAGUGCCGUGCCACUGAAAUCUGACCCUCUUCCCUGCUAGGACGUCCUUCAAUGGGCAAAAGACAGUGAGGAUAGAGCUAAUGCUGGAGAAAGAAUCCAAAGAGACGCUGAAGUCCUGCUUUCUUCUCAAC